GCGGGAAUAGCUCAGGGGCAGAGCACAACCUUGCCAAGGUUGGGGUCGCGAGUUCGAAUCUCGUUUCCCGCU
rnacentral:tRNA from 1 species